AAAUGAAUAGACGGGAGCCCGCACAAGCAGUGGAGUAUGUGGUUUAAUUCGACGCAACGCGAAGAACCUUACCGAAACUUGACAUCCUGCGAAGGGAAGAUAAAGAUUCCUGUGCCUUUCGGGGAACGCAGAGACAGGUGGUGCAUGGUUGUCGUCAGCUCGUGUCGUGAGAUGUUGGGUUAAGUCCCGCAACGAGCGCAACCCUUACGGUCGGUUGCUACGAGAGAGCACUCCGGCCGGACUGCCGUUGACAAAACGGAGGAAGGUGGGGAUGACGUCAAAUCAUCAUGCCCCUUAUGUUUCGGGCUACACACGUACUACAAUGGCGCAAACAAAGGGAAGCGAAGGCGCGAGCCGGAGCAAAACCCAUAAAAGGCGUCCCAGUUCGGACUGCAGGCUGAAACUCGCCUGCACGAAGUUGGAAUUGCUAGUAAUCGCGGAUCAGCAUGCCGCGGUGAAUACGUUCCCGGGCUUUGUACACACCGCCCGU
rnacentral:rRNA from 1 species